rnacentral:rRNA from 1 species
ACACAUGCAGUCCGAGCGGAGAUGAGGUGCUUGGCACCUUAUCUUACGGCGGACGGGUGAGUAAUGCUUAGGAAUCUGCCUAUUAGUGGGGGACAACAUUCCGAAAGGAAUGCUAAUACCGCAUACGUCCUACGGGAGAAAGCAGGGGAUCUUCGGACCUUGCGCUAAUAGAUGAGCCUAAGUCGGAUUAGCUAGUUGGUGGGGUAAAGGCCUACCAAGGCGACGAUCUGUAGCGGGUCUGAGAGGAUGAUCCGCCACACUGGGACUGAGACACGGCCCAGACUCCUACGGGAGGCAGCAGUGGGGAAUAUUGGACAAUGGGGGGAACCCUGAUCCAGCCAUGCCGCGUGUGUGAAGAAGGCCUUAUGGUUGUAAAGCACUUUAAGCGAGGAGGAGGCUACUGAGACUAAUACUCUUGGAUAGUGGACGUUACUCGCAGAAUAAGCACCGGCUAACUCUGUGCCAGCAGCCGCGGUAAUACAGAGGGUGCGAGCGUUAAUCGGAUUUACUGGGCGUAAAGCGUGCGUAGGCGGCUUUUUAAGUCGGAUGUGAAAUCCCCGAGCUUAACUUGGGAAUUGCAUUCGAUACUGGGAAGCUAGAGUAUGGGAGAGGAUGGUAGGAUUCCAGGUGUAGCGGUGAAAUGCGUAGAGAUCUGGAGGAAUACCGAUGGCGAAGCAGCCAUCUGGCCUAAUACUGACGCUGAGUACGAAAGCAUGGGGAGCAAACAGGAUUAGAUACCCUGGUAGUCCAUGCCGUAAACGAUGUCUACUAGCCGUUGGGGCCUUUGAGCUUUAGUGGCGCAGCUAACGCGAUAAGUAGACCGCCUGGGGAGUACGGUCGCAGGACUAA